rnacentral:rRNA from 1 species
UACAGAGGCCCCAAGCGUUACUGAGAAUCACUGGGUUUAAAGGGUGCGUAGGUGGCGCGUUAAGUCCGUUGUGAAAUCCCUUGGCUCAACCAAGGAACUGCUUCGGAUACUGGCGUGCUUGAGGCUAGUAGGGGUCACUGGAACUGACGGUGGAGCGGUGAAAUGCGUAGAUAUCGUCAGGAACGCCGAUGGUGAAGACAGGUGACUGGGCUAGUCCUGACACUGAGGCACGAAAGCGUGGGGAGCGAACGGG